rfam:Gossypium raimondii Chr01_contig_261, whole genome shotgun sequence.
UGUUAAAAAUUUCAUCCAUUUCUAUUGUUAAAAACUGGUAUGACUGAUGAAAUAACUAACUAGUUACACAUGGUGUGUCACAUGCACCUCAUGUUGAUGUACAUGAACUAGUUUUUAAUAGUAAAAGUUAAUGGAAUUUUUAACA